rnacentral:lncRNA from 1 species
CCGACGCCACACAGAUGGCCACCGACCUAGGGUCGGUCGACUCCUCCGAUCGCCGUACAGCCGCCGGAGCCUGUCAGUCCUGACAGCAAUAUGCGGCACUGCCACCCAAGGGCAUUAUCCCGCCUAGGGCAUUGUCAACCCUAGUGAUUUGACAGUCCCGCGGCGAUAUGACGCUUUCACGGCGACUCUGACAGUCUACAGUG